AGUGAACGCUGGCGGUAGGCCUAACACAUGCAAGUCGAACGGCAGCACAGAGGAGCUUGCUCCUUGGGUGGCGAGUGGCGGACGGGUGAGGAAUACAUCGGAAUCUACUCUGUCGUGGGGGAUAACGUAGGGAAACUUACGCUAAUACCGCAUACGACCUACGGGUGAAAGCAGGGGACCUUCGUGCCUUGCGCGAUUGAAUGAGCCGAUGUCGGAUUAGCUAGUUGGCGGGGUAAAGGCCCACCAAGGCGACGAUCCGUAGCUGGUCUGAGAGGAUGAUCAGCCACACUGGAACUGAGACACGGUCCAGACUCCUACGGGAGGCAGCAGUGGGGAAUAUUGGACAAUGGGCGCAAGCCUGAUCCAGCCAUACCGCGUGGGUGAAGAAGACCUUCGGGUUGUAAAGCCCUUUUGUUGGGAAAGAAAUCCAGCUGGCUAAUACCCGGUUGGGAUGACGGUACCCAAAGAAUAAGCACCGGCUAACUUCGUGCCAGCAGCCGCCGUAA
rnacentral:rRNA from 1 species